rnacentral:lncRNA from 1 species
UGUCGGGAUACCAUUACAGGAGUCUGAGCCUUAGAGUGAAAGAGGAGUGUAUUCCCUAGGAAGUAUUACACAAAGAACGGCUGGAGACUCCAUUACCCCAAACUAAGCAAAUGAAGUAAAAUAGCUAAGGACAGAAACUGUCCACUUCAAGUUGUGGCUUGGCCAGGCACCUGCUGAAGAAUGCUUCCGGGGACCCCCGGGAACAGAGGGUUGGAAUUCUCUGAAAGAAGCCAUACCGGGUCUUCUUUGGAGUCCUCCACCUUCUCUCGACCUCACUCCCGAUC